rnacentral:rRNA from 1 species
AGAGUUUGAUCAUGGCUCAGGACGAACGCUGGCGGCGUGCCUAAUACAUGCAAGUCGAACGAACUCUGGUAUUGAUUGGUGCUUGCAUCAUGAUUUACAUUUGAGUGAGUGGCGAACUGGUGAGUAACACGUGGGAAACCUGCCCAGAAGCGGGGGAUAACACCUGGAAACAGAUGCUAGUACCGCAUAACAACUUGGACCGCAUGGUCCGAGCUUGAAAGAUGGCUUCGGCUAUCACUUUUGGAUGGUCCCGCGGCGUAUUAGCUAGAUGGUGGGGUAACGGCUCACCAUGGCAAUGAUACGUAGCCGACCUGAGAGGGUAAUCGGCCACAUUGGGACUGAGACACGGCCCAAACUCCUACGGGAGGCAGCAGUAGGGAAUCUUCCACAAUGGACGAAAGUCUGAUGGAGCAACGCCGCGUGAGUGAAGAAGGGUUUCGGCUCGUAAAACUCUGUUGUUAAAGAAGAACAUAUCUGAGAGUAACUGUUCAGGUAUUGACGGUAUUUAACCAGAAAGCCACGGCUAACUACGUGCCAGCAGCCGCGGUAAUACGUAGGUGGCAAGCGUUGUCCGGAUUUAUUGGGCGUAAAGCGAGCGCAGGCGGUUUUUUAAGUCUGAUGUGAAAGCCUUCGGCUCAACCGAAGAAGUGCAUCGGAAACUGGGAAACUUGAGUGCAGAAGAGGACAGUGGAACUCCAUGUGUAGCGGUGAAAUGCGUAGAUAUAUGGAAGAACACCAGUGGCGAAGGCGGCUGUCUGGUCUGUAACUGACGCUGAGGCUCGAAAGUAUGGGUAGCAAACAGGAUUAGAUACCCUGGUAGUCCAUACCGUAAACGAUGAAUGCUAAGUGUUGGAGGGUUUCCGCCCUUCAGUGCUGCAGCUAGCGCAUUAAGCAUUCCGCCUGGGGAGUACGGCCGCAAGGCUGAAACUCAAAGGAAUUGACGGGGGCCCGCACAAGCGGUGGAGCAUGUGGUUUAAUUCGAAGCUACGCGAAGAACCUUACCAGGUCUUGACAUACUAUGCAAAUCUAAGAGAUUAGACGUUCCCUUCGGGGACAUGGAUACAGGUGGUGCAUGGUUGUCGUCAGCUCGUGUCGUGAGAUGUUGGGUUAAGUCCCGCAACGAGCGCAACCCUUAUUAUCAGUUGCCAGCAUUAAGUUGGGCACUCUGGUGAGACUGCCGGUGACAAACCGGAGGAAGGUGGGGAUGACGUCAAAUCAUCAUGCCCCUUAUGACCUGGGCUACACACGUGCUACAAUGGAUGGUACAACGAGUUGCGAACUCGCGAGAGUAAGCUAAUCUCUUAAAGCCAUUCUCAGUUCGGAUUGUAGGCUGCAACUCGCCUACAUGAAGUCGGAAUCGCUAGUAAUCGCGGAUCAGCAUGCCGCGGUGAAUACGUUCCCGGGCCUUGUACACACCGCCCGUCACACCAUGAGAGUUUGUAACACCCAAAGUCGGUGGGGUAACCUUUUAGGAACCAGCCGCCUAAGGUGGGACAGAUGAUUAGGGUGAAGUCGUAACAAGGUAACC